AUUGAACGCUGGCGGCAGGCCUAACACAUGCAAGUCGAGCGGAUGAAGGGAGCUUGCUCCUGGAUUCAGCGGCGGACGGGUGAGUAAUGCCUAGGAAUCUGCCUGGUAGUGGGGGAUAACGUCCGGAAACGGGCGCUAAUACCGCAUACGUCCUGAGGGAGAAAGUGGGGGAGCUUCGGACCUCACGCUAUCAGAUGAGCCUAGGUCGGAUUAGCUAGUUGGUGGGGUAGAGGCCUACCAAGGCGACGAUGGGUAACUGGUCUGAGAGGGUGAUCAGCCACAUGGGGCCUGCGGUACGGCCCAGUCUCCUAGUGUAGGCAUCAGUGUGGAAUAUUGCACAAUGGGCGGAGGCCUGAUGCAGCAACGCCUCGUGCGGGAUGACGGCCUGCAGGUUGUAAACCGCUUUCGCCGGUGACGAAGCGUGAGUGACGGUAAUGGGUAAAGAAGCACCGGCUAACUACGUG
rnacentral:rRNA from 1 species